AAAACAUUCUGAACAGGAAUAAACACUGAUUUCAUAUAUCAGUGAACAUCAAGGUAUAUUACCACAAGAGGUGGCCUUGGCCAUGGGGGCACACCUCCUCCCAUUACAAAAAUUGUCUGUUCGAUGGACACUUGAAAAAUACCAGGAAAUGUGAAGAAGAGUGUGACAGGAGAGAAGGAGGAAAAGCUCAGUAGAAAAUUCUCCUUUGUGACACGGCCCAGUCAACAUGUCAGCCUCAUUUUUUUGACAUGUGUCCUGAGCCUCAAGGGCAAAAAUUAUUUCCAGUCUACGGGCUGCUCCCGACAAGCCUCUGUGCUCGCCUCUCUGCCAGGGGAAUAUUUCACUGUAAGGCUCAAAGGACUCUCCUCUCCUCCUGUAUCCUCCCAGUUCCAUGAGACCAGAGUCUACCACAUCCAUGUGAUGCCAACGAUGGAUCAGAUAUACACAUCUCCAUUACUGCAUGGAAAUGACUCUUGGCCUCUCCCACCACCACAAACACAGAUUGUGUCUUGUUUAUUGUUUCACACAGAAUAAGAACAGUGCCUGGGGUAUAGGAAGCGCUGCUCGAUACAUGGAUGCUCACUCCACUGCUGGACUGAGUGUCUGCAGAGGAAAAAGCAUGCCAGAUCCACCCCCACCUGGUCCUGUCUCCUGCCCUGAGCAUACCUUUGCAUGUCAGUGCAUUCCCCAGAGCCAUGCCUCAGGUGACCCAAAGUGAAGAAAGUGGGCAUUAUGAAUUGUUUGCUCUAAGAACCUAAUGGAUUUCCUCUGGAAGAUGCUUAGGAGAGCUCCCUAACAUUAUUAAAAUGCAGUGCAAAAAGAUGUUUUAUCUCCUUUGCUGCACUUUUAAAAUAGGGUCCUGUACCUGUGAGUAGGGCAGUACAGAUGAUACACAUCCCUAAUAAAAUGCUAAGAAACCACGAGUCUACACAAAGCUCUGAAGGCACCCUCGUCUGGGUAGAAUCAGUGCUUCUCGCUUUCCCACCCCACUACCAUUCCACCUGGCAGCAAAUCUUUAGUUACCUCCUUGUAAUCUCUGCAUUCCCAUGGUGGCUGUGCUACAAUCAUCCAGAAGUUCUCAGCUGGACUAGUACAAUACUCUAACUCAUCUCCCUGGAAGUGCUGGUGCUCCCUUAUCUAAACCUUCCUCCACAAUUAUCCACUAAAAUGUUUUCCACCAGAAGACCUCAGGCUGAAAUUUCACUCCCUCAUUUGUGCUUCCAUGAUACCUGAUGACCUGCCUAUACAAGAGACCUGGCAUUACCCUCCUGCCUCCCAUCUCACCCUUGAGUCGGCUACACCUCGGAGUUUUUAUCUUUGACAGUGAAGUUGUCUAUGUGGAAUUUAAAUGAGAGGGUGAUUUGGACACUUGGUAGACUCUACAGCUACAGAAAGAGAAACAUGUUCUCACACAGGAACUGGCAAAAGCCCUCACAGGGUUCCACCAGAGAAUGAAGCCCGAUGCCCUACGGCACCCCCUCUGUACAAAGUGAAUUCACUUCUCUCCUAAGCAUCUACAAAGGCGGUACUUUCAUAGCAUCACAUUUUCUAUAUUCCAUGAAUCAGAUGAGGAAGCCCAGUUGAGGAAGGCUGCCCCAAGGGAAAAACCAGUGAGAAAUGCUGAGCUUAACCUCUUUGGCUCCCCUUUUCUUUAAGAUGCUGGACAGUAUUUGUUUUGUUUUGGUUGUGCUUUGUUACCUCUUACACUUUCAAAUAUGUUUUCUUGGGACGCCUGGGUGGCUCAGUCAGUGAAGCGCCUGCCUUCAGCUCAGGUCAUGAUCCCGGGGUCCCGGGGUCGAGCCCCACAGUGGACUCCCUGCCCAAUGAGGAGUCUGCUUCACCCUCUGCCUCUGCCCCUCCCCCAUCAUGCCUGCUCCU